GACGAACGCUGGCGGCGUGCUUAACACAUGCAAGUCGUACGGUAAGGCCCUUUCGGGGGUACACGAGUGGCGAACGGGUGAGUAACACGUGAGUAACCUGCCCACAACUUUGGGAUAACGCUAGGAAACUGGUGCUAAUACUGGAUAUGUGCUCCUGCUGCAUGGUGGGGGUUGGAAAGCUCCGGCGGUUGUGGAUGGACUCGCGGCCUAUCAGCUUGUUGGUGGGGGAGUGGCCUACCAAGGCGGCGACGGGUAGCCGGCCUGAGAGGGUGACCGGCCACAUUGGGACUGAGAUACGGCCCAGACUCCUACGGGAGGCAGCAGGGGGGAAUAUUGCACAAUGGGCGCAAGCCUGAUGCAGCAACGCCGCGUGCGGGAUGACGGGCUUCGGGUUGGAAACCGCUUUCAGCAGGGACGAAGCUUUUUGUGACGGUACCUGCAGAAGAAGCACCGGCUAACUACGUG
rnacentral:rRNA from 1 species